GAUGAACGCUGGCGGCGUGCUUAACACAUGCAAGUCGAACGGAAAGGCCCAAGCUUGCUUGGGGUCUCGAGUGGCGAACGGGUGAGUAAUACGUGGGUAAUCUGCCCUGCACUUCGGGAUAAGCCGGGGAAACUGGGUCUAAUACCGGAUAGGACCACGGAUUGAAUGUUGUGGUGGACAGGUUUUUCGGUGUGGGGUGAGCUGGUGGCCUAUCAGCUUGUUGGUGGGGUAAUGGCCUACCAAGGCGUCGACGGGUAGCCGGCCUGAGAGGGUGUACGGCGGCCCUGGGUCCGACGGACGGCACAGGUGCCGAAUGGAGGACACUGGGCGGAAGACUGAACAAUGGGCGCAAGGCGGGUGCAGAGAGGCCUCGGGUUGGAAGACAGUCUUGGGGGUGAAAAAUCCCUUCGCCAGGGAACGAGCGGUUUGUGACGGUACCUGGAGAAGAAGCACCGGCUAACUACGUG
rnacentral:rRNA from 1 species